rnacentral:lncRNA from 1 species
CCCAAUAAUGCAGUGCAGUCCCCACACAACGUUUUCCAAGUAGUUCCACUUGUGUUAUUAUGAUGCAAUGUAGAUACAACUGGACAAGUUAAUGGUGAUGGGGUUUCUGGUUGAAGAGUGUCUUGCUGCUAGAUUCACAUUUUUGUAAAUGUUUACGAUCACAGAAAGCACUGUGUGUAGUAGAGAUUGCCGUGCGUCAAGGAUUUUUGGGUUUCAAAAACUCCUGAUGUGAUGAUAGUGACGAGUGGCUGUUGACAAGUUUGAAUUUAGCGAUGUCCAGUUGACUAUCUCGAAUUAUGGAGACUUUGAGGAAUCUUUGCACUUAGAUCAUCGUUAUAUGUGUUUUGUAAAGAUUGAACUGUGCGCUGCGGAUUGAAAGUGUUCCAAAUGCGAGUCAAUCACACGCAAGAAAAUUGUUGUUUGAGCAGUAAGCGAAUCAGCGGAUGUAAUCGUCUGUACACCACCAAGCUCAGUGUUAUUCUAUACAUCUGAUCGUUCAACUUAGACGCCUUGUAUACUUCUCAAGAUUCUCAAUCUAGUCUCGGGUUUGCUUGCUACCAAGGCC